AAUGCAUGAUAAUAUACUGGAAUUGGUAAAAUAAUUCAGUUAUGUUUUCUUUGAUGCAUGUAUUGUUUGUCUUGCGUUGAUUUAUGGUUAAAUUAUAAAACUAAAAAUUAAAUGUAAACAGAAAAUUGAUUGGUUAAGUGAAUGAAUGAAUGGUAGUCUUAGUAGAUAUCCUGAGAGAUAGUGGACGAACCGGGUACAUAAGGAAUCCUACCGUGAACGUCGCCUCAUACCAGACGGGAUAUCGAG
rnacentral:lncRNA from 1 species